rnacentral:rRNA from 1 species
GCUAAUACCGGAUAGGAGCUCCUGCUGCAUGGUGGGGGUUGGAAAGUUUCGGCGGUUGGGGAUGGACUCGCGGCUUAUCAGCUUGUUGGUGGGGUAGUGGCUCACCAAGGCUUUGACGGGUAGCCGGCCUGAGAGGGUGACCGGCCACAUUGGGACUGAGAUACGGCCCAGACUCCUACGGGAGGCAGCAGUGGGGAAUAUUGCACAAUGGGCGGAAGCCUGAUGCAGCAACGCCGCGUGCGGGAUGACGGCCUUCGGGUUGUAAACCGCUUUCGCCUGUGACGAAGCGUGAGUGACGGUAAUGGGUAAAGAAGCACCGGCUAACUACGUGC